UGUGUACGCAGCGGAAGAAAAUAACACAAUUAAAAAUUUUCUUGAAAACCAAAAAUCACCUCGUGUUUCGUUUUAGAUCAUUAAUAAUAGAUCUAAUUGAUCUAAUCAAAUAGGAUCUAUAUUUUAUUUUACCUCGCGCGGGUCGAGAUCACCACGAAGUCGACAAUCGUUGGUAAAAUUGUUCGUCCUCGGUUAGCCGCGCACGCGCCCGGCCUCUACUCGCGUCCACACGAAAUCAAGCCCUUGAUCGAAUUAAACGACCGCUUCGAUCCGUGAUCCGAUCACGAAUUAACUCUUGCGUCGACUUGAGGAAGAUGAAUCGAUCUUCUAGAUGUGCUAGCAACUUUUGAAGAUCGAAAACGAUGGAUUUAUUGUGGAGGACUUAAGGAAGAAAAAGGAUUGACGGCUAGGGUUUUCUUUUUCUUUUUGCUUAAUUUUUUUCGUUAAUUUUAAUAUGUCAUAUGACAUAUAUUUAUAAUGAGAAAACCCUAACGUAAUCCUAAUCGAAAUCCUAUUCCGAUUAGAUUAUCCAUUAACCCACAAGUUAGUUAUGAUAUUAACCGAAUUCCGAAUCCUAAUUCUAAUUCGAUUCGUGUGUAACAUUUACACAUAAGUCCUCAUAUUAUUUACUAACGAUUAGUAAAUACACCAUGCAACUUUUACACAUAAAUACCUCUAAUUUACAACAAUUGCAAAUUAGUCGUUUUACUAAUAAAUUAGUAAACUUUAGUAUUUAACUAUAUUAUAAUUAUAAUUAAUCCAUCCGAUAAACUUCUUUUAUCGUCUCCUAAAUAUCGAUCAUGCGCGAUUUCUUAUGUGUUGACCUAAUAGGUUCAAUUCUGUCUGGUAGUGAGAUAUGAUGCGAUCUCCAUCCACAUCAUCAUCGAAACUCUUUUCGAUGGCUCAAACUCUUUUGAUUCCACCCUAAUAGAAUAAUUAAAUAUUAAUAAUUAUUUCUAUUGGUUCCCACUAUCCACAAGUGAUGCCUAGCAGCAUAUAGUGACAAUCCAGUUAGAAGUGAAUAUCGGACUGAACCUCUAGGUGCAGUUACCGUACAAUACAAUCCUUCUAUCGCAUAGUUCCAACUGAGUGGAGGUCAUGGAAUAUUCGUCAAACCCCAUCACCCGUCAUAUGACAAAUUUGAUCAGACAUAAGCUCUUAUGGUUACUCUUGGAAACAUCUUUCCAUACACCAUAUUACCCCGGCUGAGGAUUUCUGAGCUUUGCCGUACAAAUAGCAUAGAAC
rnacentral:lncRNA from 1 species